UUUUCUAAGAGAAUGCUCAUCUAUCACCAAAAAUUCUAUUUAUCCUAAUUUAUAAGUCACAAUCCUAAAUCUACAAUAGUUCUCUAUUUAAAUAAAAACUUUCAAAAAAUGGCAGCUUUCGUAAAAGUUAUUGAAAAAAUACAACCUAUUGAUGAAAAAUUCUGCAAAAUACUCAUCUAUCAACAAAAAUUCUUGUUAUCCUAAUUCCAAAGUCACAACCCCAAAUAUAUUAUGAUUAG
rnacentral:lncRNA from 1 species